AUAAAAUUAUUAAUUGGUUUAAAUAAAAUAUUAUUAUAUUUAUUAUUUUUUAGAAUAAUUUAUUAUUAUUAUAGUUAAUUAGUAUUGAAAGAGAAAUUUUUAUAUAGUAAAAAGAAUUAAUUUUAGUACCUUGUGUUUCAGGGUUAAUUAAAUAUAAAUUAAGUUUAAUUUUCUCGAUUUUAAGGGAGUUAAAAUUAUAUAAAUUUUAUUGUAAAAUAAAUAUUUAAAAUAUAAUUUUUGAAAUGAAAUGUUAUUCGUUCUUAAAUAUAUCUAGUUUUUAAAGAAAAAAAUUUAAUUUUAUUUGUUAAGUUUGAAUUAUUAAAUUAUAAAGAAUUUAAAAUUAGUAAAUUAUAUUUUAGGGGAUAAGCUUUAAAAUAAAGAAUUAUAAAUUUAUUAAAUUUUUAUAAAAGAUUUAGAAUUAAAAAUUUUUAAAAUUAAGUUUGUUAUUAUUUAUUUUAUAUUUUUAUAAAAUUUUUAUAAAUUUUAAUUAUUUUAUUUAAAUUAAUUAUUAAAUCUGUUAAUAAUUGAAAUAAUGGUUAAAUUAGUAUAAUAAUUUGUAUGUUGUUAUUAAAAAUAUAGUUUAUUUUAAGGAAUUCGGCAAAUUAUUUUUUGCCUGUUUAUUAAAAACAUGUCUUUAUGAUUAUAAUUUAAAGUCUGACCUGCCCACUGAAAAAUUUAAAGGGCCGCAGUAUUUUGACUGUGCUAAGGUAGCAUAAUAAUUAGUUUUUUAAUUGAAAGCUGGAAUGAAUGGUUGGACAAAAAAAUUACUGUCUCAAAUUAAAUUUAUUAGAAUUUUAUUUUUAAGUUAAAAAGUUUAAAUAUAAUUAAAAGACGAGAAGACCCUUUAGAAUUUUAUUAUUAAUUUUAAUACUUAAAUAUUGUUUUUUAUAUAAUUAUUCAAAUUAAUAAUUUUGUUGGGGUGAUAAAAAAAUUUAAUUAACUUUUUUUUUUAUUUACAUUAAUUUAUGAAUUAUUGAUCCAUAAAAUGAUUAUAAGAUUAAAUUACCUAAGGGAUAACAGCGUAAUUUUUUUAAAGAGUUCUUAUCGAAAAAAAAGUUUGCGACCUCGAUGUUGGAUUAAAAUUUAUAAAAGGUGAAGAAGCUUUUUUAUUUAGUCUGUUCGACUAUUAAAAUUUUACAUGAUCUGAGUUUAAACCGGUGUGAGCCAGGUUGGUUUCUAUCUUUAAUUAAUUUAGAUAUUUUAGUACGAAAGGACCAGAUAU
rnacentral:rRNA from 1 species